GGAAAGUUGCAAAGAACUUUGAAGAGAGAGUUCAAGAGUGCGUGAAACCACUGGAGUGGAAACGGAUAGAGUUGACGUAACUUGGCAACAUUCAGCCUUGCCCUAACGGGUGGGGUGCACUUGUUGUCAGUAUGCGCCGAGUCGGUUGGCGGUGCGCGUUAAACCUGGCGAUGUUGCCCUCUUGCUAGGUGUCUUGUCGCUGGGGUAGACGUGUCGCUGCUAAUCGUAUUCGGUGUGCAAGUCGAUCACCUAUCCGACCCGUCUUGAAACACGGACCAAGGAGUCUGGCGAAUGCGCGAGUCAUUGGGUGGAAAACCUAGAGGCGCAAUGAAAGUAAAGGUCGGCUUCGGAUCGGCUGAUAUGGGAUGCGUGGUCUUGGACUGCGUCGCACCAUAGCCCCAUCUCGAUGGCUUGCCAUGGGGUGGAGGUAGAGCGUAUUCGCCAGGACCCGAAAGAUGGUGAACUAUACUUGAGCAGGGCGAAGCCGGAGGAAACUCCGGUGGAGGUCCGUAACGAUUCUGACGUGCAAAUCGAUCGUCUGACUGGCGUAUAGGGGCGAAAGACUAAUCGAACCAUCUAGUA
rnacentral:rRNA from 1 species